rnacentral:lncRNA from 1 species
CUCCCACGUACACACGAGGGAUACAUGUUAAUAAACUUCUGUUUGUUUUCCUCUGCUUAAUCUGUCUUUUAUUACAGGGAUCUCAGCCAAGAACGCAGACGAGGAGAGGGAAAAGGAUCUCUCCUCCCCUAUGUGUCCACUGCGACUGCCUUCUCUGCCAGGAAGCCUUCUGUGACCACCUCUCCAAUUCUGGGUCAGUCUCUCCGUCCUCUCACCUCCAGUGCCCCUUGGGAUCUGAUCCACUCCCUUGACAGGCAAUGGCCUUGUCCAGCUGUCCAACGGGAAUACAAUGGGAAGAAAGUAUUCUUAAAGAUGAUUCACAUAAAAUCUGAACAGUGAUGAGGCCAGCUCCCCUGCGCAUUCUAACGCGGAGCGGAGGGCGCCAGGUAAAAGCCCGGACAGGCGGUACCCAGGCGUCUAGGCAGCCGUCCACAGAGAUGCGGGUCCUCCGCGGAGCCUAGAGAGGACGCGGAAGUGGGCUGGGGGCGGGGUCCGAGGCCCCUGCAGACUCCGCGUCCGCCGGCUGGGUGCGGCCCCGCGGCUGCCAGAGAGUCGGUCGGAAGCGAGCGCUGGAGGGGCGAUGCCGUGCACUUUGCCCCUCUGUCCUUCCGUUUCCCUCGCCGAGCCAUGCCCCUGGCGGCCGAGGAGAGUGGGCGCGGGUCCCGAAUCCCCCGGCGGGGUCGACGCCGCUGUGCAUCGCCGGGUGCCCGGGGUCGUUGGGGCCCCGCCACCCUCGGUCCCCGCGCCCUCCUCUUCUCAGGCCGUCCGUCCCGCGCUGCUCAAGUUUCCAGCCCUGCUCCUCUUGUAGGAGCAGGGGUGGGAUGACCCCGGGCCAGAGUGGACAAACCUCCUGUUCCUGGAGCCGGUGCCCUGUGAGGAUGCGGACGUGGGCUUCAGAUAAGAGUGGAGGCGCCUGUCCGCCCUGGGAAAGCUCUGCGCGGACGUGAUGCCGAAGAUUUCUGGAAACGUCGUCGCACUGAGUUGGUCACGCAGUUGGUUUCUGUCAUCCCUGUGGCCACUGACACUG